GAUGAACGCUGGCGGCGUGCCUAAUACAUGCAAGUCGAGCGAACAGACGAGGAGCUUGCUCCUCUGACGUUAGCGGCGGACGGGUGAGUAACACGUGGAUAACCUACCUAUAAGACUGGGAUAACUUCGGGAAACCGGAGCUAAUACCGGAUAAUAUAUUGAACCGCAUGGUUCAAUAGUGAAAGACGGUUUUGCUGUCACUUAUUGAUGGAUCCGCGCCGCAUUAGCUAGUUGGUAAGGUAACGGCUUACCAAGGCAACGAUGCGUAGCCGACAUGAGAGGGUGAUCGGCCACACUGGAACUGAGACACGGUCCAGACUCCUACGGGAAGCAGCAGUAGGGAAUCUUCCGCAAUGGGCGACAGCCUGACGGCGCAACGCCGCGUGAGUGAUGAAGGUCUUCGGAUCGUAAACCUCUGUUAUUAGGGAACAACAAAUGUGUAAGUAACUAUGCACGUCUUGACGGUACCUAAUCAGAAAGCCACGGCUAACUACGUG
rnacentral:rRNA from 1 species